rnacentral:piRNA from 1 species
UAGUCAAAGGUGUGCUUAGCAAAGUCUAGA